AAAGAACGCUGGCGGCAUGCUUAACACAUGCAAGUCGAACGGAUAGCCCUAGCUUGCUAGGGUACUAUUAGUGGCAGACGGGUGAGUAACACGUAGGAAUUUACCUUAUAGUACGGAACAACAGUUGGAAACGACUGCUAAUACCGUAUACACUCUUCGGAGAAAAGAUUUAUCGCUAUAAGAUAAGCCUGCGCUAGAUUAGGUAGUUGGUGGGGUAAUGGCCCACCAAGCCGACGAUCUUUAGCUGGUCUGAGAGGACGAUCAGCCACACUGGAACUGAGACACGGUCCAGACUCCUACGGGAGGCAGCAGUGGGGAAUAUUGGACAAUGGGGGCAACCCUGAUCCAGCCAUGCCGCGUGAGUGAAGAAGGCCUUAGGGUUGUAAAGCUCUUUCGCUAGGGAAGAUAAUGACGGUACCUAGUAAAGAAGUCCCGGCUAACUCCGUGCCAGCAGCCGCGGUAAUACGGAGGGGACUAGCGUUGUUCGGAAUUACUGGGCGUAAAGAGUACGUAGGCGGCUAUGCAAGUUGGGUGUGAAAGCCCGGGGCUCAACCCCGGAACUGCACUCAAAACUGUGUAGCUAGAGAUCGGAAGAGGUAAGUGGAAUUCCCAGUGUAGAGGUGAAAUUCGUAGAUAUUGGGAAGAACACCAGUGGCGAAGGCGGCUUACUGGUCCGAGACUGACGCUGAGGUACGAAAGCGUGGGGAGCAAACAGGAUUAGAUCCCCGGGUAGUCCACGCCGUAAACGAUGAAUGCUAGUUGUUGGGAGGGUUUUCAGUCUCGUAGCUAACGCAUUAAGCACUCCGCCUGGGGACUACGAUCGCAAGAUUAAAACUCAAAGGAAUUGACGGGGGCUUGCACAAGUGGUGGAGCAUGCGGUUUAAUUCGAUGCUACGCGAAAAACCUUACCAACCCUUGACAUGGUGGUCGCGGAUUUCAGAGAUGAGAUUCUUCAGUUAGGCUGGACCACACACAGGUGUUGCAUGGCUGUCGUCAGCUCGUGUCGUGAGAUGUUGGGUUAAGUCCCGCAACGAGCGAAACCCUCAUCCUUAUUUGCCAGCGGUUAAUGUCGGGGACUAUAAGGAAACUGCCAGCGACAAGCUGGAGGAAGGUGAGGACGAUGUCAAGUCAUCAUGGCCCUUACGGGUUGGGCUACACGCGUGCUACAAUGGCGGUGACAAAUGGAAGCAAUAGAGCGAUCUGGAGCAAAUCCUAAAACACUGUCUCAGUUCGGAUUGCACUCUGCAACUCGAGUGCAUGAAGUUGGAAUCGCUAGUAAUCGCAGAUCAGAAUGCUGCGGUGAAUACGUUCACGGGCCUUGUACACACUGCCCGUCAAGCCAUGGGAGUUGAUUUUACUCAAAGUUGGUGAGCUAACCCGGCAA
rnacentral:rRNA from 1 species